AUGCUGGGGAGGGGGCGCGGCGGCGACUCCGAGAGGCCGCACAGAGAGCGGCCCUGCCUGUCCCGGAGGGCGAGCAUGCAGGAGCAGAUGUCCUCGUCGUUCAUGGAGUCGCCGCCGCCGCCGCCGCUGCAUCACCUGGACGGCCCCUUCUUCGGCGCCGACCUGCUCCCCUCCGCGCGCCUCCGCCGGAUGCGCGGGUACCGCCCCUCCCCCGGCGGCCUCGAAGAAGAGAUCAUGAUGUUUCAGACAAGAGUGUUGUUGGGAGGAAUGAAUAUGUAUGAUCGGUACCAGGAUUGGCGCCUCGAUGUCGACAACAUGACUUAUGAGGAGUUGCUUGAGCUUGGAGAAAGAAUAGGGCAUGUCAACACAGGGCUACGCGAGGAUGAGAUAAUUCGCAACCUCAGGAAGGUCAAGCCUGAUUCAUCAUUCCGGUUUCCGACGGAAGUGGAGAAGAAAUGCAGUAUUUGUCAAGAAGAGUUUGAAGCAAAUGACGAGAUGGGGAGGCUGGGCUGCGGCCACAGCUACCAUGUUUACUGCAUCAAGCAGUGGCUUUCUCAGAAGAACGUUUGCCCGGUUUGCAAGACUGCUGUCACAAAGACUUGA
rnacentral:rRNA from 1 species